rnacentral:rRNA from 1 species
GUCUACAGCCAUGCCACUCUGAACAAGCCCAAUGUCUGAUCUCUGAAGCUAAGCAGGGUCUGGGCCUGGUUAGUACUUGGAUGGGAGACCACAUAGGAAGAUCAGGUGCUAUAGGCA